rnacentral:misc_RNA from 1 species
GAUGAAGAACGCAGCGAAAUGCGAUAAGUAAUGUGAAUUGCAGAAUUCAGUGAAUCAUCGAGUCUUUGAACGCACAUUGCGCCCCCUGGUAUUCCGGGGGGCAUGCCUGUCCGAGCGUCAUUGCUGCCCUCAAGCACGGCUUGUGUGUUGGGCCCCGUCCCCUCCCCCGGGGACGGGCCCGAAAGGCAGCGGCGGCACCGCGUCCGAUCCUCGAGCGUAUGGGGCUUUGUCACCCGCUCUGUAGGCCCGGCCGGCGCCAGCCGACACCAACUUUUAUUUCUAAGGUUGACCUCGGAUCAGGUAGGGAUACCCGCUGAACUUAAGCAUAUCAAUAAGCGGAGGA